UACAUGGGGUGCAAACGUUGCUCGGAAUCAUUGGGCGUAAAGCGCGCGUAGGCGGUUAUUUAAGUUGGAUGUGAAAGCCCUCGGCUUAACUGAGGAAGUGCAUCCAAAACUGAAUAGCUAGAGUACGAAAGAGGGUCGCGGAAUUCCCGGUGUAGAGGUGAAAUUCGUAGAUAUUAGGAAGAACACCAGUGGCGAAGGCGGCUCACUGGCCCGGUACUGACGCUGAGGCGCGAAAGCGUGGGGAGCAAACAGG
rnacentral:rRNA from 1 species